rnacentral:rRNA from 1 species
UACAGAGGGUGCAAGCGUUAAUCGGAAUUACUGGGCGUAAAGCGUGCGUAGACGGUUAUGUAAGUUAGGUGUGAAAGCCCCGGGCUCAACCUGGGAAUUGCAUUUAAGACUGCAUAGCUAGGGUGCGGAAGAGGGAAGCGGAAUUUCCGGUGUAGCGGUGAAAUGCGUAGAUAUCGGAAGGAACACCAGUGGCGAAAUCGGCUUCCUGGUCCAGCACCGACGUUCAGGCACGAAAGCGUGGGGAGCAAACAGG